AUUGAACGCUGGCGGUAUGCUUAACACAUGCAAGUCGAACGCGAAAGGCACCUUCGGGAGCUGAGUAGAGUGGCGGACGGGUGAGUAACGCGUAGGAAUCUGCCUAGUAGUGGGGGAUAGCCCGGAGAAAUCCGGAUUAAUACCGCAUACGCCCUACGGGGGAAAGAUGGCCUCUUCUUGAAAGCUAUCACUAUUAGAUGAGCCUGCGUCGGAUUAGCUGGUUGGUGAGGUAAUGGCUCACCAAGGCGACGAUCCGUAGCUGGUCUGAGAGGACGAUCAGCCACACUGGGACUGAGACACGGCCCAGACUCCUACGGGAGGCAGCAGUGGGGAAUAUUGGACAAUGAGCGAAAGCUUGAUCCAGCAAUACCGCGUGUGUGAAGAAGGCCUGCGGGUUGUAAAGCACUUUCAGUGGGGAAGAAAAGCUUAAGGUUAAUACCCUUGAGUCUUGACGUUACCUACAGAAGAAGCACCGGCUAACUCCGUGCCAGCAGCCGCGGUAAUACGGAGGGUGCAAGCGUUAAUCGGAAUUACUGGGCGUAAAGCGCGCGUAGGCGGUUUGGUCAGUCAGAUGUGAAAGCCCUGGGCUCAACCUGGGAACUGCAUUUGAUACUGCCAAGCUAGAGUAUGGUAGAGGGAAGUGGAAUUCCGGGUGUAGCGGUGAAAUGCGUAGAUAUCCGGAGGAACACCAGUGGCGAAGGCGACUUCCUGGACCAAUACUGACGCUGAGGUGCGAAAGCGUGGGUAGCAAACAGGAUUAGAUACCCUGGUAGUCCACGCCGUAAACGAUGUCAACUAGCCGUUGGGGCCAUUUAAGGCUUUAGUGGCGCAGCUAACGCGAUAAGUUGACCGCCUGGGGAGUACGGUCGCAAGAUUAAAACUCAAAGGAAUUGACGG
rnacentral:rRNA from 1 species